UACGUAGGGGGCGAGCGUUGUCCGGAUUCAUUGGGCGUAAAGCGCGCGUAGGCGGCUCGACAAGUCGGCCGUGAAAUCUCCAGGCUCAACUUGGAGGGGUCGGGCGAGACUGUCGGGCUCGAGGUGGGCAGAGGGCAGUGGAAUUCCGGGUGUAGUGGUGGAAUGCGUAGAGAUCCGGAGGAACACCAGUGGCGAAGGCGGCUGCCUGGGCCGGGCCUGACGCUGAGGCGCGAAAGCGUGGGGAGCGAGCCGG
rnacentral:rRNA from 1 species